UCCGCGUUCCCAGUGGAGCCGGCGCCCGGCCCGAGGCGCGCUAGGGCUCCCGCAGCUUUGUACGCUUUUAUGGAGGUCCCGGCGGCGGUGGCCAGAGCCUGGUUCCGGCUGCCGCCCAGUCUGUCCUUGUCAGAUCUGCACGAGCCCAGAUAAGAGGAAAGACAGAUGGAGAAAAGCUCUUCCCUUCAAGCUACUUCAUGAAUUACAACAAUUUAGUCAUUUACAUCUCUGCGGAAAAUUAAAGCAUUUUUCUGUUUUCUCUGCCUUGUCCCUCCAGAAAUUGCAGGCAUUUGGGUUCUGGACCCUUAUUAGGGAUUAAAUCAUGAGCCACUGAACCUGCUGACCUUCAACACUCGCUGGAAGAACUUCAGGAUGGAAGUCAGAAAUAAGGCCCUCUGUGCUCUGGGAAAAACUGGCAAAACAGGCCUUCAGAGAGUUAGAUAGUUUCAGUUGGGAAUAUCUACUUUCUACCAGACACGUGCUGAAAGAAGCCUGGAUCAAACCCUCAGGAAAAUGUCCCUUUGGUCAGGCCCAUGUCUUCUCAGUGUCCAGGGACUCUUCCAAACACAGUACUCCAAGUCAGUGACUGAAGUCUCCACAGGCAGAUCUCAGCAGGGAAGCUGUUCGGAGCCAGAAAUGAGCCUUGGAUACACAGGUCUGGUUGUUCGCCGUGUCACCCUGAGUCUAUCUUUCUUGGUCUGAUACAAGCCUGUACUCUCAUGCCCCUCAAGUAGCCUGUCCCAAGGAUCCAAAACCACGAGUGUGGCAUCCAGCCUUUCCCCAGACCCGGAAAAGAAAGGACAAGAUUUUCUCUGUGGCCACUUGAGAAUUUUCUCAGUAUCCACGGAGUCUCAGGGCAAUGCCUGUGUUAACUCUGCUAUCGAAUUCAGCCCAGGCCUGAAAUGUUACCGAGAAGGACCCUGUGCAGCCUUCAUGUCAUCUUCCUGCCUUUUUAUCUAUAGAAUAACUUUAGUCUAAGAAUCAGUGUAAUAAGAGAUGUGAGAAAGACACAUAAAUGCAGAGAAAAAGAAAAACAGUUAAGACAGAGUAAUGGUAGUUUUAUUUAUUCAACCAAGUCAAGGGUAUUUAAGUGAGUUCUUCUUCAAGGACUACAGAUAAUAAUCUGAGCCAUGUCCCUGAAGCUGGUUUGCAGGGGCUAAAGCCCCCAUUGGGUAGAAGAAGUCAGCUGUAGGCUGCCCACAAGCACAUGUAGAUCCCAGACUGAAGGGAACCAAAAGGUUGAUGACAGUGACUCCCAAUUACCUCACCACCCACCAAACAGGAAAAUGUCCAUGAGUUGACCAGCCUUGCUCCUCAAACAGUAGAAGGCUCUCGUUACUCCCUCUAAGGAUAGGCACAGUCCUCUAGUCAUCAGCCUGCUGUGCUCCCUCUUUGCCUAAAGUUACAUAAAUAUUUGCUUCUAGUGCCCAGAAAGGAGCCAAAUCCUGCCCAGAGAUAGGCUGAUUUUAGUACUAGGAGAGCCCAUCAUGCCCAUACUGGCUAUACCUGGGCAGCAAACCGGGUCAUAAGGAGUGACACUGUCCCAGAGUUCAGUGAGUUCUCAAGGCCUAGGGGAUCUUAUCUCUGAAGGAAUCCAGGAUCCCUGAGUUCCAAGGAGGAGCAGUGUGGAAGGAGCACAGAAUCCAAAGAGAGAGAGUUUAAGUUGGCCCCCGCUCAGCCUCUUCCUAGCUCGGUGACUCUAGGCCGGGCUCUGAGCCUCAGUGACCUCCAUCUCUAAAAUGGAGAGAGUGAGUGGCACUCUUUAAUGCGUUGUUAGGGCAAUUGCUUGAGAAAUGAUUUGUGCAAUUUUUGUUCCAUGCUUGGAAUGCAUUAAGAACUAAAUGGAAAGGCAGUCAUGGUGGUAACCCUUUAUCCAAGGUAUCUGUUUUUUCUUUUGUUGAUUUGGAGUCACUUUUAAGAAACUGAUGCCAAAUCCAAAAUCAUGAAGAUUUGAUCUUAUGUUUUCUUCUAUGAGUUUUAUCAUUUUAGCUCUUAAAUUUAGGCCUUUGAUCUGUUUGGUUAAUUUUUUUCGUUGUUGUUGGUUUUUUUGGUUUUGUUUUCAGGGCUACAUGCGAAGCAUAUGGA